UGCAGUCGAGCGGAACGAGUUGUCUGAACCUUCGGGGAACGAUAACGGCGUCGAGCGGCGGACGGGUGAGUAAUGCCUGGGAAAUUGCCCUGAUGUGGGGGAUAACCAUUGGAAACGAUGGCUAAUACCGCAUAAUAGCUUCGGCUCAAAGAGGGGGACCUUCGGGCCUCUCGCGUCAGGAUAUGCCCAGGUGGGAUUAGCUAGUUGGUGAGGUAAGGGCUCACCAAGGCGACGAUCCCUAGCUGGUCUGAGAGGAUGAUCAGCCACACUGGAACUGAGACACGGUCCAGACUCCUACGGGAGGCAGCAGUGGGGAAUAUUGCACAAUGGGCGCAAGCCUGAUGCAGCCAUGCCGCGUGUAUGAAGAAGGCCUUCGGGUUGUAAAGUACUUUCAGCAGUGAGGAAGGUGGUGUACUUAAUACGUGCAUCAUUUGACGUUAGCUGCAGAAGAAGCACCGGCUAACUCCGUGCCAGCAGCCGCGGUAAUACGGAGGGUGCGAGCGUUAAUCGGAAUUACUGGGCGUAAAGCGCAUGCAGGUGGUUUGUUAAGUCAGAUGUGAAAGCCCGGGGCUCAACCCUCGGAAUUGCAUUUGAAACUGGCAGACUAGAGUACUGUAGAGGGGGGUAGAAUUUCAGGUGUAGCGGUGAAAUGCGUAGAGAUCUGAAGGAAUACCGGUGGCGAAAGCGGCCCCCUGGACAGAUACUGACACUCAGAUGCGAAAGCGUGGGGAGCAAA
rnacentral:rRNA from 1 species